AUUGAACGCUGGCGGCAGGCCUAACACAUGCAAGUCGAGCGGAGCGGCGGACGGGUGAGUAAUGCCUAGGAAUCUGCCUGGUAGUGGGGGAUAACGUCCGGAAACGGGCGCUAAUACCGCAUACUAUCAGAUGAUCCUAGGUCGGAUUAGCUAGUUGGUGGGGUAAAGGACUACCAAGGCGACGAUCCCUAGCUCGUCUGAGAGGAUGAUCAGCCACAUGGGGACUGAGACACGGCCCAGACUCCUACGGGAGGCAGCAGGGGGGAAUAUUGCACAAUGGGCGCAAGCCGGAUGCAGCCAGGCCGCGUGUAGGAAGAAGGCCUUAGGGUUGUAAAGUACGUUCAGCGGGGAGGCGUUACCCGCAGAAGAAGCACCGGCUAACUCCGUGCCAGCAGCCGCGGUAAUUC
rnacentral:rRNA from 1 species